CCCUGAACUGUGAGAUUCUUAUUUCUCUUUCUUUUUUUUUCUUUCUUUUCUCCUCGGCCACAACUCCUCCAGAAUGUGGCUUUCCAGCUAACCCCAAACCAUUUUCAGCUGCUACCAACAGAUGACUGGGACUCAGAGCUUGUCCUUCUAAGAUGCAUCCAUUCCAUAUGAUCUUCCUGUAUUGGCCUCAGCAAGAACCCCGGUGAUGGAAAAUCCAGAUGCUCAUUGCUCACAUCCUGCACUAACUCAGACCAUUCUACUUUGCCUGCCUCUCCCUACUUGAUUCCAUCCUCCACAGCUGUCAGGACCAGUAUAUUUAUCAAAUUUUGCUUUUUAGAACACGGGAUAACUUGGGUGGUGAACUUCCAGCUUGUUUCAGCUGGGAAACUCUUGAGAGCACUAUCAGCAGAACAUGGAGCUGGUGCCAAAUCACAGAGAGUGGCAAUAUUUGGUCUGGUGGGUCAAAGAAAUAAAUGUGCAGCUUUUGAAGACACACAGGCCCCAAACUGCACAAGGUCAUUGAACAGAAUUGACUGCUGAUGGAAUUCCCACAGUCAAAGGGCUUCCACAAGGGAUGAACACGACCCAUUGCCAGCCUGCAGCUCUGUACCUCAAAACCCAGGGGAGCCUGUCCUUCUUGGCCUCCAAUCACAGAAGAGCUUCUUCCCUUGCUUUCACCGGUCCAAGGACUUGGAUGAGACGUUUCUCUUCCUCCAAGCGAAUAUCCCUGGCU